CGGGGCCGGACCGUCAUGCUGACCGGUCGCAUGCUGGAGAGGCUCCAGAGAAAUCUGGCCUCUUAGGCAAAUCCUGUAGCUCUGAUACCUGCAAAGAGCCACACAGACGCACACACGGUGGUGGUCAAGGUGGCAGACUCCGAGAUCGGGAGUUUUGAGAUCCUAAAGGGUUGAAUAAAGCUUCGGGGACUGCGGCCUACUUGAGAGGGGAGAGGGGUCGACAGCAGCUUCCUUGUCUCCCCUCGCGGCAGCCACACGCUGACUACUUGAGACACCUGC